rnacentral:rRNA from 1 species
UACGUAGGGUCCAAGCGUUAUCCGGAAUCACUGGGCGUAAAGCGUGCGUAGGCGGGAGUUUAAGUGAGUUGUUAAAUCGUGUGGCUCAACCAUAUCGAUGCAAUUCAUACUGGAUUCCUAGAGGAAGGCAGAGGCAAGUGGAAUGGUAGUGUAGCAGUGAAAUGCGUAGAUAUUACCAGGAACACCAAUGGCGAAGGCAGCUUGCUGGGCCUUU